rnacentral:rRNA from 1 species
AUUGAACGCUGGCGGCAGGCCUAACACAUGCAAGUCGAGCGGCAGCGGGACCUUCGGGUUGCCGGCGAGCGGCGGACGGGUGAGUAAUGCCUAGGAAUCUGCCUGUUAGUGGGGGAUAACGCGGGGAAACUCGCGCUAAUACCGCAUACGUCCUACGGGAGAAAGCGGGGGCUCUUCGGACCUCGCGCUAACAGAUGAGCCUAGGUCGGAUUAGCUAGUUGGUGGGGUAAUGGCCCACCAAGGCGACGAUCCGUAACUGGUCUGAGAGGAUGAUCAGUCACACUGGAACUGAGACACGGUCCAGACUCCUACGGGAGGCAGCAGUGGGGAAUAUUGGACAAUGGGCGAAAGCCUGAUCCAGCCAUGCCGCGUGUGUGAAGAAGGUCUUCGGAUUGUAAAGCACUUUAAGUCGGGAGGAAGGGCUGUAGGAUAAUACCUUGCAGUUUUGACGUUACCGACAGAAUAAGCACCGGCUAACUUCGUGCCAGCAGCCGCCGUAA